rnacentral:rRNA from 1 species
GUGGGGAAUAUUGGACAAUGGGCGAAAGCCUGAUCCAGCCAUGCCGCGUGUGUGAAGAAGGUCUUCGGAUUGUAAAGCACUUUAAGUUGGGAGGAAGGGUAGUAACCUAAUACGUUGCUACUUUGACGUUACCGACAGAAUAAGCACCGGCUAACUUCGUGCCAGCAGCCGCGGUAAUACGAAGGGUGCAAGCGUUAAUCGGAAUUACUGGGCGUAAAGCGCGCGUAGGUGGUUCGUUAAGUUGGAUGUGAAAGCCCCGGGCUCAACCUGGGAACUGCAUCCAAAACUGGCGAGCUAGAGUACGGUAGAGGGUGGUGGAAUUUCCUGUGUAGCGGUGAAAUGCGUAGAUAUAGGAAGGAACACCAGUGGCGAAGGCGACCACCUGGACUGAUACUGACACUGAGGUGCGAAAGCGUGGGGAGCAAACAGGAUUAGAUACCCGGGUAGUCC